rnacentral:rRNA from 1 species
AUACAGAGGGUGCAAGCGUUAAUCGGAAUUACUGGGCGUAAAGCGCGCGUAGGCGGCUUGGUCAGUCGGAUGUGAAAGCCCUGGGCUUAACCUGGGAAUUGCAUUCGAUACUGCCAGGCUAGAAUGUACUAGAGGGUAGUGGAAUUCCAGGUGUAGCGGUGAAAUGCGUAGAUAUCUGGAGGAACAUCAGUGGCGAAGGCGACUACCUGGACUAAAACUGACACUGAGGUGCGAAAGCGUGGGGAGCAAACAGGAUUAGAAACCCCGGUAGUCC